rnacentral:rRNA from 1 species
AUUGAACGCUGGCGGCAUGCCUUACACAUGCAAGUCGAACGGCAGCAUAGGAGCUUGCUCCUGAUGGCGAGUGGCGAACGGGUGAGUAAUAUAUCGGAACGUGCCCUAGAGUGGGGGAUAACUAGUCGAAAGAUUAGCUAAUACCGCAUACGAUCUACGGAUGAAAGUGGGGGAUCGCAAGACCUCAUGCUCCUGGAGCGGCGGAUAUCUGAUUAGCUAGUUGGUGGGGUAAAAGCCUACCAAGGCGACGAUCAGUAGCUAGUCUGAGAGGACGACCAGCCACACUGGGACUGAGACACGGCCCAGACUCCUACGGGAGGCAGCAGUGGGGAAUUUUGGACAAUGGGGGCAACCCUGAUCCAGCAAUGCCGCGUGAGUGAAGAAGGCCUUCGGGUUGUAAAGCUCUUUUGUCAGGGAAGAAACGGUUCUGGAUAAUACCCUGGGGUCAUGACGGUACCGUAAGAAUAAGCACCGGCUAACUACGUGCCAGCAGCCGCAGUAA